rnacentral:rRNA from 1 species
GUGCCAGCCGCCGCGGUAAUACCGGCAGCUCAAGUGUUGGCCACUCUUAUUGGGCCUAAAGCGUCCGUAGCUGGCCGCGCAAGUCCGUCGGGAAAUCCACCCGCCCAACGGGUGGGCGUCCGGUAGAAACUGGCCGGCUUGGAACCGGAAGGCUCAGAGAGUACGUCCGGGGUAGGAGUGAAAUCCCGUAAUCCCGGACGGACUACCGAUGGCGAAAGCACUCUGAGAAGACGGCUUCAACAGUGAGGGACGAAAGCUCGGGUCUCAAACCGGAUUAGAUACCCUGGUAGUCC